GUCUUUAUGAUAAUAAUUUAAAGUCUAAUCUGCCCAAUGAUUAAAUUUAAUGGCCGCAGUAUUUUGACUGUGCAAAGGUAGCAUAAUCAUUAGUUUUUUAAUUAAAAACUGGAAUGAAGGAUUGGACGAGAAAAUAACUGUCUCUUUAUAAUUUUAUUUGAAUUUUAUUUUUAAGUUAAAAAGCUUAAAUUUUUUUAAUAGACGAGAAGACCCUAUAGAGUUUUAUUAAUAAUAAAAGAUAUUAUUAUAGAAUUUUAUUAAUAUUUUUAAUUUGAUUAAUUUUGUUGGGGUGAUAGAAAAAUUUGAUUAACUUUUUUUAAAAUAAACCAUUAAUAAAUGAGUUUUUGAUCCAUUUUAUGAUUAAAAGAUUAAAUUACCUUAGGGAUAACAGCGUAAUUUUUUUUUAGAGUUCAAAUCGAUAAAAAAGAUUGCGACCUCGAUGUUGGAUUAAAAUUUAUAUUUGGUGGAGAAGCUAAAUAAUUAGGUCUGUUCGACCUUUAAAAUUUUACA
rnacentral:rRNA from 1 species